UACGGAGGUGCAAGCGUUAUCCGGAUUUACUGGGUUAAAGGGUGUGUAGGCGGACUUUUAAGUCAGCGGUGAAAUCUCCGGGCUCAACCCGGAAACUGCCAUUGAUACUAUUGUCUUGAAUGUUGUUGAGGUGGCGGAACGGGUCAGUGUAGCGGUGAAAUGCAUAGAUAUGACCCGGAACACCGAUUGCGAAGGCAGCCCACUAAGCAACGAUUGACGCUGAGCACGAAGCGUGGGAUCAACAGG
rnacentral:rRNA from 1 species